GUCAACAGCAGCACCAUGGCUCAACAGAAGAACCCUGAAGGCUCUGUGGGAUUUGCCAAUCUCCCAAAUCAAGUAUACAGAAAAUCAGUGAAUAGAGGGUUUGAAUUCUCGCUUAUGGUAGUAGGUGAAUGUGGAUUGGGAAAGUCGACAUUAACCAACUCAUUAUUCCUGACAGAUUUGUAUUCUCCGGAGUAUCCAGUUCCUUCUCAUAGAAUAAAAAAGACUAUACAGGUUGAACAAUCCAAAGUUUUAAUCAAAGAAGGUGGUGUUCAGUCGCUACUCACAGUAGUUGAUAUCCCAGGAUUCGGAGAAGCAGUGGAUAAUUGUAAUUGCUGGCAGCCUGUUAUUGACUACACUGAUAGUAAAUCUGAUGACUACCUAAAUGCAGAAUCGAGAGUGAACAGACGUCAGAUGCCUGAUAACAGGGUGCAGUGUUGUUUACACUUCAUUGCUCCUUCAGGACAUGGAUUUAAACCAUUGGAUAUUGAGUUUAUGAAGCAUUUGCAAGAAAAAGUGAAUGUCAUCCCACUUAUUGCUAAAGCAGACACACUCACACUAGAGGAAUGCCAUCAGUUUAAAAAACGGAUAAUGAAAGAAAUCCAGGAACAUGAAAUUAAAAUACGUGAAUUUCCAGAAACAGAUGAUGAAGAAGAAAAUAAACUUGUUAAAAAUAUAAAGAUGGUUUACUUGCUGUGGUAGGUAGUAAUACUAUCAUUGAAGUUAAUGGCAAAACGAUCCGAGGAAGGCAGUAUUCUUGGGGUGUUGCUGAAGUUGAAAAUGGUGAACAUUCUAAUUUUACACUCUAAGAAAUAUGUUGGUAAGAACACACACUUGAAAGAUGUUGCUAAUAAUGUUCACUGUGAGAAUCACAGAAGCAAAAAAUUGGCAGCUGUGACUUAUAAUGGAGAUGAUAACAAGAAUAAAGGGCAGCUGACUAAGAGCCCGCUGGCACAAAUGGAAGAUGAAAGAAGGGAGCCACGUAGCUAAAAUGAAGACAAUGGAGAUGUAGAUGGAGCAGAUGUUUGAGAUGAAGGUCAAAAAAGAAGUUCAAAAACUGAAGGACUCUGAAGCUGAGCUCCAGCGGCACCAUGAACAAAUGAAAAAGAAUUUGGACACACAGCACAAAGAAUUAGAGGGAAAAUGUCAUCAGUUUGAGGAUGAGAAAGUAAACUGGGAAACUCAAUAACAUGUUUUAGAACAACAGAACUCUUUGAGGACCUUGGAAAAGAACAAGAAGAAAGGGAAGAUCUUUUAAACUCUCUAUUGACCACCAGUUACAUAUUAGUUGCCAAUAGGCCAGCUUGGACAUCAGUGUUUGUUGAAUCCGUUUGACCAAUUUGCACCAGCUUUAUCCAUUAAUGAUGGAUUUAACAGCAUGACAAAAAUUAUUUUGUUGUUGUUGUUCUUGAUGGAGAUUAAGAUGCCUUGAAUUGUCUAGGGUGUUAUGUACUUAGAAAGUAACAGCUCUAAGUACCUUUCCUACAUUUUUUUUAAAUUUAUUAAACAGGUAUCUUCAGUUUAAUGCAAGAGAAUAUUUUACCGUUGUACAAUCAUCUUCUGGUGGUUUGAUUGUUUACAGAAUAUUCCAAAAUAAA